UACGUAGGGGCCGAGCGUUGUCCGGAGUUACUGGGCGUAAAGCGCGCGCAGGCGGCUCGUCAAGCCUGACGUGAAAGCCCCCGGCUCAACCGGGGAGGGUCGUCGGGGACUGGCGAGCUUGAGGUCGGCAGGGGUUGGUGGAAUUCCCGGUGUAGUGGUGAAAUGCGUAGAGAUCGGGAGGAACACCCGUGGCGAAGGCGGCCAACUGGGCCGGACCUGACGCUGAGGCGCGAAGGCGUGGGGAGCGAACGGG
rnacentral:rRNA from 1 species